rnacentral:lncRNA from 1 species
UAUAUAUAACUAGGCUACUAUACUAUCGGUAGCACGGAGCGCUCCGUGCUACCAAGUUGUUUUCGAUGAUGCGCUCCCAAUAAUUGCACAUAAGUCAUCUUAUAAUUUACUAACUAUUAGUAAGUCCUCUUCUGUAACAUUUAAACUAUCUGGAAAUCAAAUUUCACACAUUUUCGAUAUUGUUCUCUUGUCCAUCAAGUGAACAGAAAAAUGAAUGGCUGGAAAUUAAUAUCCUUUAAAAAGUGAUGAUAUAAUUUUUAUAUUUGAGAUCUAGAGUCUAGAUCUUAGUUUAAAUAGUUUAAAGAAUUUUUUAACAAAAAUUUAGUUGAUUUGAACUCUUCUAUAUCGUUAAACGAGCAAAUGCACCAUAUCGACCAUUAAAAUUAUAGAUUUUGUGACUCUUUGAUCGUUCGGUUAGUGAUGCCAAAAAAUCAUGAAAUUUGAUUUCUAGAUAAUUUAAAUGGUCUAGAUCAUGUUCAACGGUGCCGAUCGUCGAUUUGGAAGCUCUAUCAUCGAAAACAAAUCGGUAGUAAACCAAGCAGUUUACUACCGAUAGUAGCCCAGUCAAACUCUCUCUCUCUCUCUCUCUCUCUCUCUCUAUAUAUAUAUAUAUAUAUAUAUAUAUAUAUAUAUAUAUAUAUAUAUAGAGUCCGGCUAGUAUACCUUUAUGAGUAUUGGCUCGCUUAUACUCAUAAAUUUUCGGCUCUUAGAUUUAUUCCAUUAAUCAUUUUCAUCCGUUAGAUCAUACUAUUUAACUAACUACCCACUCAACCCUAGGGAACUACUAUCAUUUUAAGUGGGGACCACCAUCAUCCUAACCACACAUCCCAUCAAUCAACGGUUAAAAAUUUAUGAGUACAAGAGGGUCUAUACUCAAAAGAGUAUAGUAGCCCCAGCCUACAUAUAUAUAUAAGUAGGACUACUGUGCUCUCAGGAGCACGAAGGCCUCUAUGCUCCUGAAUUGUUUUCAAUGAUGAAAUUUUCGAAUCGAGGAUUGGCUCCGCUAGACUUGAUCUAGCGUAUUUGAAGUUUCUAAAAAAUAUUUUUGCGGUUUUUCGAUAUCACUUAGCUUGUGAUCGAAAGGGUUCAAAAUCAAUAAUUUUUAAUGGUUGAUGUCUGUCGUUUUUCAGUUUAACGGUGUAGGAGUAUUAGAUGAAAUUUUGAUACAAAAUUCUUUAUUCUAUCCACAACAAGAUCACUAUUUCUGAUCGAAAAUUUUAGUCCUAUAUCACCACUUUAGUGUCCUACUAGUUGAUUAAUAUU